UACGUAGGGUGCGAGCGUUAAUCGGAAUACUGGGCGUAAAGCGUGCGCAGGCGGUUCGUUAAGACAGAUGUGAAAUCCCCGGGCUUAACCUGGGAACUGCAUUUGUGACUGGCGAGCUAGAGUAUGGCAGAGGGGGGGUAGAAUUCCACGUGUAGCAGUGAAAAUGCGUAGAGAUGUGGAGGAAUACCCGAUGGCGAAGGCAGCCCCCUGGGCCCAAUACUGACGCUCAUGA
rnacentral:rRNA from 1 species